GAAGUUUGACAGACAAUCGCUGGCGGCUUUGCCGCGAGAGGAAAGUCCGGGCUCCAAAGGGCAGGAUGCUGGAUAACGUCCAGUCAGCGCGAGCUGAAGGAUAGUGCCACAGAAAUGGACCGCCGAUGGUGCGUACGCACACAGGCAAGGGUGGAACCGUGGUGUAAGAGACCACGAGGGAGGCUGGUGACUUCCUCCCUGGUAAACCCCAUCUGGAGCAAGACCUAAGAGGAACGCCGCGAGUUCGGCUCGCAGCCUUAGCCCGAGGCGCGUUCGGGUUGGUCGCUUGAGCCAUGCAGCAAUGCACGGCCUAGAAAGAUGAUUGUCGCUUCAACGGUGGGAGGGUCGUUCCCGUUCGGACCACUGGAAGUACAGAACCCGGCUUACGGCAAACUUUCCAU
rnacentral:RNase_P_RNA from 1 species